rnacentral:rRNA from 1 species
UACGAAGGGGGCUAGCGUUGCUCGGAAUCACUGGGCGUAAAGCGCACGUAGGCGGACUCUUAAGUCGGGGGUGAAAUCCUGGAGCUCAACUCCAGAACUGCCUUCGAUACUGGGAGUCUCGAGUUCGGGAGAGGUGAGUGGAACUGCGAGUGUAGAGGUGAAAUUCGUAGAUAUUCGCAAGAACACCAGUGGCGAAGGCGGCUCACUGGCCCGUAACUGACGCUGAGGUGCGAAAGCGUGGGGAGCAAACAGG